rnacentral:rRNA from 1 species
UGGGGAAUCUUGCGCAAUGGGCGAAAGCCUGACGCAGCCAUGCCGCGUGAAUGAUGAAGGUCUUAGGAUUGUAAAAUUCUUUCACCGGGGACGAUAAUGACGGUACCCGGAGAAGAAGCCCCGGCUAACUUCGUGCCAGCAGCCGCGGUAAUACGAAGGGGGCUAGCGUUGCUCGGAAUUACUGGGCGUAAAGGGCGCGUAGGCGGACAUUUAAGUCAGGGGUGAAAUCCCAGAGCUCAACUCUGGAACUGCCUUUGAUACUGGGUGUCUUGAGUGUGAGAGAGGUAUGUGGAACUCCGAGUGUAGAGGUGAAAUUCGUAGAUAUUCGGAAGAACACCAGUGGCGAAGGCGACAUACUGGCUCAUUACUGACGCUGAGGCGCGAAAGCGUGGGGAGCAAACAGGAUUAGAUACCCUGGUAGUCCACGCCGUAAACGAUGAUUGCUAGUUGUCGGGCUGCAUGCAGUUCGGUGA